AUUCCAGCUCCAAUAGCGUAUAUUAAAGUUGUUGCAGUUAAAAAGCUCGUAGUUGAAUUUCUGGUGGGAGUGUACAGUCCGACACUGAGUGUUGGUUCUUGUGUGUCUCCGGCCAUCCUUGGAGUGAAUCUGUCUGGCAUUUAGUUGUUGGGCAGAGUAUCUCCAUCGUUUACUGUGAGGAAAGGAAAGUGUUCAAAGCAGGCUUACGCCGUUGAAUCUUUUAGCAUGGAAUAAUAAGAUAGGACCUCGGUUCUAUUUUGUUGGUUUCUAGAGCUGAGGUAAUGAUUGAUAGGGAUAGUUGGGGGCAUUCGUAUUUAACUGUCAGAGGUGAAAUUCUUGGAUUUGUUAAAGACGGGCUACUGCGAAAGCAUCUGCCAAGGAUGUUUUCAUCA
rnacentral:rRNA from 1 species